rnacentral:rRNA from 1 species
UUUGGUGGUUUGACGGUGAGGUCACACCUGAUCUCAUUCCGAACUCAGAAGUUAAGCUCACUAGUACCGAUGAUACUCUUUUGGAGGGGAAAGUAGGUAACCGCCAAAA